UGUCUCCACAUGUGACACAGGAAGUCUGGAACACUUGAUGCUGCAUGGAUGUACAGUGGGAGUGUGACUCCAGUUUCAGAUGCAGGUGGACAGCUUGAUCGUUUUCCAGCCAUUCUCUGACAGCUCAAGUGUGACUUUUGGUUUAAUGGUCAAAGGUAUAUAUACAGACUCAAAUAUCUGCAUACACCAGUGACCACACCCAAGCUAAGGUAUGAUGUGAGACAGAAGAUGAAAAACACAGGGUGGAAAAGGCUGGAGCCUGUCUCAGCUACCAUAGAGGAGUGUUGGGGACAAUUGCCAAUCUGACACAGAGAAAGAGACAGACAACCAUUCACACUUAGACCUAUAGGCAAUUUAGAAUAAGUAAUUAACCUAACCCAACAAAUUAGAUAUAAUUGGACUAUUGGAGGAAGCCGGAUACCCAAGAGAACCCGCACAAACACAUGGAGAACAUGCAAACUCCACACAGAAAGGCUCUUGUGCAGUUAAACUCACGAUGUUCUUGCUGUGAAAUAACAGUGGUAACCACUGCACUGCCCAGCUUUUAAGAAAUAAAACUGUAAAAUUUAUAAAGAAAGUGACAACAAACUUGGACUUUGUUCUUAUGUUACUUCACAAAAAAUCAAAAAAGGAAGUCGUUGUUCAUCAAUAAUAAAAAACAAGAACUUUUCUGUCAUUUAAUGGAAAUCCUUUUCUUUUAUUUAAUGGUUUGCGUUUGUCAUCUUUGUCUUUGUCAGUCAGGAAGCUGUAAAACUAUUUCAGAUGAAAUCAUCAGUUCAGUCUUUCAUGAUGUGAUUUAUUCUUAAGGACAAAAAGCAGUAAAAAGUCCAGAAUUGUACCUGCUCUGUCAUUUUCACAGUUUGCAAACCCACCCACUGGGUCGGAGGGAAGUUUGACAUCACAGGUGUAGAGGGAAGCAUUUCUUACACACUAUACAAAUUGAUCAUUUAUUCUUUUCUUUGCUACAAAUUGUAUUAUUUAUCUUCAAUUGAAAUGUCAUAAAACAUGUUUUCUUGCAUUUUUAGUUAAGUUGUGUAAUUAAUUUGCAACCUAUAUAACUCACAGUCAUUAAUAUUCAA